AGCGAACGCUGGCGGCAGGCCUAACACAUGCAAGUCGAACGAACCUUUCGGGGUUAGUGGCGGACGGGUGAGUAACACGUGGGAACGUGCCUUUAGGUUCGGAAUAACUCAGGGAACCUUGUGCUAAUACCGAAUGUGCCCUUCGGGGGAAAGAUUAAUCGCCUUUAGAGCGGCCCGCGUCUGAUUAGCUAGUUGGUUGAGGUAAUGGCUCACCAAGGCGACGAUCAGUAGCUGGUCUGAGAGGAUGAUCAGCCACAUUGGGACUGAGACACGGCCCAAACUCCUACGGGAGGCAGCAGUGGGGAAUCUUGCGCAAUGGGCGAAAGCCUGACGCAGCCAUGCCGCGUGAAUGAUGAAGGUCUUAGGAUUGUAAAAUUCUUUCACCGGGGACGAUAAUGACGGUACCCGGAGAAGAAGCCCCGGCUAACUUCGUG
rnacentral:rRNA from 1 species